rnacentral:rRNA from 1 species
UGAUUAUGACGUACUUGUACUGAUUGAGAUUUUAACACGAAGUGAGUGGCGAACGGGUGAGUAACACGUGGGUAACCUGCCCAGAAGUAGGGGAUAACACCUGGAAACAGAUGCUAAUACCGUAUAACAGAGAAAACCGCAUGGUUUUCUUUUAAAAGAUGGCUCUGCUAUCACUUCUGGAUGGACCCGCGGCGUAUUAGCUAGUUGGUGAGGUAAAGGCUCACCAAGGCAGUGAUACGUAGCCGACCUGAGAGGGUAAUCGGCCACAUUGGGACUGAGACACGGCCCAGACUCCUACGGGAGGCAGCAGUAGGGAAUCUUCCACAAUGGACGCAAGUCUGAUGGAGCAACGCCGCGUGAGUGAAGAAGGGUUUCGGCUCGUAAAGCUCUGUUGUUAAAGAAGAACGUGGGUAAGAGUAACUGUUUACCCAGUGACGGUAUUUAACCAGAAAGCCACGGCUAACUACGUGCCAGCAGCCGCGGUAAUACGUAGGUGGCAAGCGUUAUCCGGAUUUAUUGGGCGUAAAGCGAGCGCAGGCGGUCUUUUAAGUCUAAUGUGAAAGCCUUCGGCUCAACCGAAGAAGUGCAUUGGAAACUGGGAGACUUGAGUGCAGAAGAGGACAGUGGAACUCCAUGUGUAGCGGUGAAAUGCGUAGAUAUAUGGAAGAACACCAGUGGCGAAGGCGGCUGUCUGGUCUGCAACUGACGCUGAGGCUCGAAAGCAUGGGUAGCGAACAGGAUUAGAUACCCUGGUAGUCCAUGCCGUAAACGAUGAUUACUAAGUGUUGGAGGGUUUCCGCCCUUCAGUGCUGCAGCUAACGCAUUAAGUAAUCCGCCUGGGGAGUACGACCGCAAGGUUGAAACUCAAAGAA